GAGAGACAGUGUGGAUAAUAACGUAUUGCAGGAGUCAGGACUUUUCCACGGUGAUUCACAUUCAGCUUUCACUUAAGGCAAGAUGGAAGAAAGGAGGAUACCAAGAUAAGAAGAUCAAGGAGAUACAGAAAGCUAAAUUUGACAAGGGUCAACAGACCGAACAGCUCUCCCACAGCCAGCCUGAGAACCUGCUUUACGGUCUUAAUAGCCUGGGUGAAGACUCGGGCAUCAGAUGGCUGAGAAAAGGAUAGCCCAGAGCAAGAGGGAGCCCAGCAGAGGCUAAGAAGGAGGCAGCAAAGGAGUUCACAAACCCACAUACAGCUGAAGGAGGUACUGAAUGACAUGUGGGGUCCAUUUCAGAAAGCAGGUUUAGUGAAAACUCUGAGUUUGCUAACCCUGAGAUGAGGGUAAUUCUGGGUUUUCCGUUUCAGAAAGAGAAGUAACUUAACCUCGGACUCUGUGAACCGAACCUGGUUGGGAGCAGGUUUUCUCCUUUCAGUCUCCUCCCUCUGACACAGUGCUCUUUUAUUUCAUCAUUCAUUAUUCUUAAUCAAGCGCAUUUUAGCACAGUUUGUUACCUGCAUGAAUAAAAAAACAGGGUUGGUUUAUUAACCAUGUUAGGCAGACUAUAAAAGUUUUUUUUCUCGAACAUGGCAUUUCCUUUUGUCGAU